rnacentral:tRNA from 1 species
GACUCCGUGGCCUAAAGGAUACGGCGUCUGACUUCGAAUCAGAAGAUUGCGGGUUCGAGUCCUGUCGGGGUCG